CUCCCAUUGGAGAACAGAAAAUUUAAUGAGCUUUUAAUGGAAUGCAAUGCUCAGAGUAGUAAAUUAUUUGUUAGUUGACGAUGCAAUCAGCAUGCUGAUUAAGGUUGCUUGCUUUUUUUUACUAAACAUUAACUGAAUGAAAACGGGUAGUCCUUGUUCUGCUUGGGGGCUUUAAGGAAGCAAAUGGACUUUCAGAACAGAGAUUGUCAAUAAAGAAAUCAAGCUUGGCCUGUGUGAGAAUGCAGAGAUUAUGGACCUUUUGGUGUUUCAAGAAAAAAAGUUGAGGACAUGAAGUCAGAAAUAAACUCCCCCCAAAUGUUAAGGGCCAGGCUUCUGAUACUAAGGGCACAGCCUGGACAUCCACCUUGUCUUCUUCAUCUUGGCUUCAUCUCCCUGGAAGAAAGAAUACAUUCAUCCCUAAGGUUGCCACUUCAAAGUGACCAGUGAGAUGCUAACAGGUGUUCUUUCUACACUAUGGCAAAUGCCAUCCCUAAGCAAGUGGCCUGGACUGCAUAAGAAAGGAAGAUGAAUACAAGUGAGAGAGGAGGAUGCUUUCAGUUAGUAUGUCAUCACAACAGAAAGCAAACUAAGACACACCUCCAAAAUUUUUUUCUCUUUCAUUUCUUACCAUGUGGAUAAUAAAGACAAAGAAAGAGUGGAAGAGUGUCUCUGAGAGGCGCUUAUAGACAAAUAACAGAUAAUAUCUGCACAUGUUUGCCUCAGAUGGAUAUCUUUGGAGUUCCCCACUGAAAGGCAGAGAAAAUCAACUUCUCCCCUUUUCCUGUGCACUUUCACCUGGUGGCCUACUUUGCUUUUUGAGUCUUAAAAAUAUGGCUUUAUUGGAAAACUAAAAGAUUAUAAACUAUUGAGUAAUGUAAGUCAGAAACUGCCAAAGUGAUUUCCAAAGAGGUUGUAUGAGAUUGCACUUCCACCAGCAUUGGAGACUUCCACCAGCAUUGGAGACUUCCGCCAGCAUUGGAGACUUCCGCCAGCAUUGGAGACUUCCGCCAGCAUUGAAGACUUCCGCCAGCAUUUGGAGACUUCCGCCAGCAUUGGAGACUUCCGCCAGCAUUGGAGACUUCCGCCAGCAUUGGAGACUUCUGCCGGCAUUGGAGACUUCCGCCGGCAUUGGAGACUUCCGCCGGCAUUGGAGACUUCCGCCGGCAUUGGAGACUUCCGCCAGCAUUGGAGACUUCCGCCAGCAUUUGAAGAGUGCUCUCCUUGUUCCACACCUUCACCAGCAUGUGCUGUCACUUGAGUGAUUUCGGACAUUCUGACAGCUGUAAGAUGGAAUCUCAGAGCUCCCGGAAGUCUGUUGGGGUGACCCUCGCGGAGACACCUAGCAGCAGGGAAUAUAGAGCCUGAAGUAGCCUCCUCCUGUUUCCAGGCAGAGCUUCUUUUGGAGGUAUGGGGAUACCAAUCCACCUUAGACACACAAUGUUUCCUGCUUACAAGAUGUGCAGUGACAAAGAUGGGGCAGAGAUUGAGGGAAUGGCCAACAAAUGACUGGUCCAACUUGACUUGAGACCCAUCCCCUGGGAGAGAGCCAACCCAUGACACUAUUAACAAUACUCUGCUGUGCUUGCAGACAGGAACCUAACAUAACUGUCCUCUGAGAGGCUUCACCCAGCAGCUGAAGAAAACACAUGCAGACACCCACAGCCAAACAUUACUUGGAGUUCGGGUGUCUUGUGGAAGAUGGGAGAAGGAUUGAGAGAGCUUCAGAGGUCAAGUACACCACAAGAAGACCUACAGAGCAAAAUAACCUGGGUCCAUGGAGACUCACAGAGACUAAACCAAUAAACAAAAAGCUGGCAUGGCCUGGACCUAGGCCCCCUCAACUUAAUGGGUCCCACAUAAAAAUGUCUUCUACAUCUGACUCAGGGGCUGUCUCUGGGUCUGUUGCUUGCCUGUGGAUCCCUUCUCACUAUCUGGGCUGCCUUGUCUACUAGGAGUGGUAGGAGCAGACUAUGCAAUAGAUAUGCCAAAGGAACAUAUAGAAAAGGUAUAUUUCCUUCCCGAUGGUGAGUGCUCUCUGUCACGAACAACUCCACGUUUGGCUAAGGCUGAGGAUCUGGCUUGCUUCCAUGUAUGUGGACCUAUCUGCAUUGCCCAUGUGGCAUGCUGCGGUUGGCUAUUUAAGCUGUGGGCUGGCUUUCCCCAGGGUCCGAUGAUUGUUCAAGGUUUCUGAAUAAACUGCUUGAAAAAAAAAAAAAAAAAGAAAAGGUGUAUUAAAAUUCAUGUUUCAGAAGAAACAUAGUUGGAAUGAGGAGCACAUUGACGAUCACAGAAUUAGUAGUUAGAAUGUGGGCUGCAGAGUUGGUAAAGAUGUCUGUUGCCAAGGCUGACUUCUGAGUUCAAUAAUUCAAUCCCUGUAACCUACAUUACAAAAAGAAUCAAGUUUUCAAGUUGUCUUCUGAUCACCACACUUGAAACACAUUUGUCACAAUUCCAAUUUGCAGAAGAAGAAACUUAAGCUUAAGGCGGUUUUAAAAAUUUGCCCAAGUUUAAUGUCCGGUAAGUGGAGAAGCAGGGUAAGGAGUCAAAAGCAAUUUGUCAACCCAUUCGGGCAGUACUGUCACUGGGUGCCGGUCCCUCCUCCCAGGGAAGAGUCUCAGGCAAGAAAAGGGACAUAGGAACUUGUAAGUCAGAGCAGAGGAGGAGCAACUCUUGGGAAUCUAUGGCAUGGAACACCUUCUCACUGUUUCUACUGUCAGUUCUACAGAUACCCCUUUGCCAUUUAUGUAUGUAUGUAUGUAUGUAUGUAUUCUUUGAAGAAGUUAAGUGGCAUUUGACCUCCCGAGUAUGAUUUAACACUGGAGCCAACAGAUCAUUUCUAGUGAAUUUCAUUGGAAAAUUAUUUGAGGAUAGAUGCAUAACAUUAUUAUUAUUUUUUAUUUUUUUAAUUACACUUUAUUCACUUUGCAUCCCCCCCAUAAGCCCCACUCUCCUCCCCUCCCGGUCCCACCCUCCCUCCACCUUCUUCACGCAUAUAGCCAACAUACAGCAGACCCAUGCUUUGUUGAAUGAUGACUGAAAUAAGGAUCAUUUUCUUGUAAUCUUAACAACAAGCUGAGCAAUGGAAUCUUGUAGAAUUCCACCACUGUCUUAUUUCAAAUGAGAGAAUCUAUAUUAAAUGUCAGCUGACCAAAAUUACUAUUGCUUCAAGCAUUUCUCCAUCACACUACUUCUUUCAGAAGAAACAACAUCACAUUACAUUUAAAAACUCAACAUGUUGUGGCUCAAAUUUAAAGUUAAUAAGUGUAUACUAAGAGCCUUUUAAAAUAUUUUAAAUUUUUAGUGAUAUUUUAUGUACAUAAUUUAUUUUGGUUAUAUUCAUCACCCGAAUCUUCUUUCAGUGUUCUCCCUCUACCACUGAACCCCUUCUUCUCAAGAAGGCCUCUUCUGCUUUCCGGGCUUUUAUGUUUUAAUGACUCUUUGAAUUUAAUUGGGGUUGCUUGCAAGAGUAUGAGUGGAGAGUUAUUUACAAGAGCAUAGGCAGUUCCCAGUGGCUCUAGCAUUGAAGGAAAUUAUUCUUCUUACUUCAGCAAUGAUUAACUAUACACCUCCUUAGGAAGGGGUGGGGCCUCAUGAGCCCCUCACCAUCUGUAAUGGAAAUUUUGCUUUUUUUACCAAGAUUUAUUUAUUUAUAUUUAUGCUUGUGUGAGAGAGAGACAGAAACAGAGAGAGAGAGAGAGGGAGAAGGAGAGAGAGAGGGAGAGAAAGAGAGAGAGAGAAAGGGAGAAUAUUCCUUUUUCUUUUUUAAUAUAAUAAUUUUUAUUUAUUACAAUUUAUUUACUUUGUAUCCCAGCUGUAGCCCCCACCCUUAUCCCCUCCCAAUUCCACCUUCCUUUCCUCCCUCAUCUCCUCCCAUGGCCCUUCCCCAGUCCACUAAUAAGGGAGGACCUCCUCCCCUUCCAUCUGACCCUAGCCUAUCAGGUUUCACAGGACUGUCUUUCAUAGUCUUCCUCUGUGGCCUGGUAAGGCUGCCACCCCCUCAUGGGGAGGUGAUCAAAGAGCCAGCCACUGAGUUCAUCUCAAAGAUAGCUCUUGUUCCUCUUACGGAUGAUCCCAUUUGGAGACUGAGCUGCCACGGGCUACAUCUGUGUAGGGGUUCUAAGUUAUCUCCAUGAAUGGUCCUUGGUUGGAGAAUCAGUCUCAGAAAAGACCACUGGGCUGAGGUUCUGUUGUUCUCCUUGUGGAUCUCCAGACCCUUCCAGGUCUUUCUAUCUCCCCUUUCACAAGAUUCCCUGCACUCUGCCCAAAAUUUUGCAGUAAGUCUCAACUGCCUUUCUAAUACCCUGCUGGGUAGAGUCUUUCAGAGGCCCUCUGUGGAAGGCUGUCUUGUUUCUUGUUUUCACCUUCUUCUGAUUUCUAUCCUAUUUGCCUUUCUGAAUGAGAAUUGAACAUCUUACCCAGGGUUCUCCUUCUUGCUUAACUUCUUUAGGUGUACAAAUUUUAGCAUACUUAUCCUAUAUUAUAUGUCUAAUAUCCACUUAUAAGUGAGUAUAUACCAUGGGAGUAUAUUUCUGCUUCUGGGAUACCUCACUUAGGAUGAUCUUUUCUAUUUCCCACCAUUUGCUGCAAAGUUUAUGAUUUCCUUAUUUUUAAUUGCUGAGUAGAAUUCCAUGGUGUAAAUGUACCACAAUUUCUGUAUCCAUUCCUCCAUUGAGGAACAUCUGGGUUGUUUCCAGCUUCUGGUUAUUAAAAAUAAACCUGCUACGAACAUGAUUGACAAAAAUGUCCUUGUUGUAUACUUGAUCAUAUUUUGGAUAUAUGCCCAGGAGUGGUAUAGCUGGAUCUUGAGGAAGAACUAUUCCUAAUUUUCUGAGAAAGUACCAGAUAGAUUUCCAAAGUGGUCAUACAAGUUUACAUUCCCACCAGCACCCACCAGAAAUGGAGGACGGUUCUCCUUUCUCUACAUUCUCUUCAGCAUGUGCUUUCUCUAUAGUUUUUUAUCUUAGCCAUUCUGAAGGUGAAAUCUCAGUUUUUUUUUUUUAAUUUGCAUUUCCUUGAUGACUAAGGAUGUUGAGCAUUUCUUUAAGUUUUUCUCUGCCAUUUGGUAUUCCUCUAUUGAGAAUUCUCUGUUUAGCUCUAUACCCCAUUUUUUAAUUGGAUUGAUUUGUUGCUGUUUAACUUCUUGAGUUCUUUAUAUAUUCUGGAUAUUAGCCCUUUGUCAGAUAUAGGGUUUGGUUAAGAUCUUUUCCCAGUCUGUAGGCUGUUGUUUUGUUCUGACAACAGUGUUUUUUGCCUUGCAGAAACUUUUCAGCUUCAUGAGGUCCAAUUUAUUGAUUGUUGAUCUUAGAGCCUGUGAUGUUGCUGUCCUGUUCAGGAAGUUGUCUCCUGUGCCAAUGAGUUGAAGGCUCUUCCCCACUUUUUCUUCCAACAGCUUUAGUGUGUCUGGUUUUAUGUUGAGGUCUUUGAUUCACUUGGACUUUAGUUUUGUGCAAGGUGAUAACAGGGUAUGGAUCUGUUUCCAUUUUUCUAAAUAUAUCCAGUUAAACCAUCACAAUUUGUUGAAGAUGCUGUCUUUUUUCCAUUGUAUGGUUUUGGCAUCUUUGUAAAAAAUCAGGUGUCCAUAAGUGUGUGGGUUUAUUUCUGGGUCUUCUAUUCUAUUCCAUUGAUCCACCAUUCUGUUUCUAUGCCAGUACCACGUAGUUUUUAUUACUGUUGCUCUACAGUACACCUUGAAAUCAGGGAUGGAGAUACCUCUAAAAGAUCUAUUAAUGUAGAGGAUUGUUUUAGCAAUUCUGGAUUUCUUGUUAUUCCAUAUGAAGUUGAGAAUUUUUCUUUCAAGGUUUGUAAAGAAUUUGUAUUAGUAAUUUGAUGGGAAUUGCAAUGAAUCUGUAGCUUCAGAAGACUGAAAUAAUCCCUUGUAUUAUCUCUGAUCACCAUGGACUAAAGCUGGACCUCAAUAUCAAGAGAAAUAGCAAAAAGCCUACACUCAAGUGGAAACUGAACAACUUGUUACUCCAAUGACAGCUGAGUCAGGGAAGAAAUAAAGAAAGAAAUUAAUGACUUUCUAGAAUUCAAUGAAUUUGAAGGCACAACAUACCCAAACUUAUGGUACACAAUGAAAGCAGUGCUAAGAGGAAAGUUCACAGCCCUAAGUACCUUCAAGGAGAAUAUUCUUAUGUGUGCAGGUGCCAAUGUUGACCAAUGAUGAGUUAACUCAACCAUUGAAACUGAAGCUUCUCUGACCAAGGCUAAGAACAACAGUAAUCAGUGAGUACAAAUAUAAAUAUUUUCAUGACAGUUUCUAUUUAGGAAGACAACAGUAGCAUCUAUCCCCUGCUCCCCUUGAGAAUAGAACCUCUUUAGCAAUGGGUUUCUAACUCAGUUUACAGUUCCAGGCAUGGAAUUCCUUCCUGUGGAGUGGGCCUCCAAUCCAAUCAGAAAGCAAUUACUCACCUUCAUAAUAGUUGCCAGGGGAUAUUUCACCAGGGGACUAGUAGGUCAGUCCUUUAGCACGCAGAUUCCAUAGCUCUGGAUGACCACUGAUGACAUCUUUCAGUAGUUUGCAUAACAUUUUCCAUCAUUAUAAAGGCUAGUCAACAGAGAAGGAGUUUUCAAGUCAGUUUCAGCUUAAUAUUUCUAUCUCCUACGGCCAAUGUGUACCUUCACAAUAAAAUCUUACCGGGAACUCCUGGUUAGAAAACCUAGUGUUUUAAGCUGUUGCUAGUGCUGUUAUGAAAAAGUAAAGAUUUUUCUCAGCACGUCUUUUAGGUUGGAAAUAUUUUUAUAUGUGUGUGUAAUCAUAGCCUUUUUUGAAGCCUGUUGCAAGUUAUUGAUUUUACUCAAAGACCUUUAUUAGCCUACUCACUCAGAGACAUAUGUAUACAUAAUUCUUGGGUAAUAGUCUGUAUUUAUUCUGUUAAUAAAUGUUUCAAAGCUAUUGUUCUCUGGGGUCUUCAAAUAAACGGAGAUAUUUAUCUCUUUGGAAUUUUAGUAAUACCACAAUUAAAAUGAAAUGCAAUCAAUAAAAUAUUAAUGCAGCUGUGUUUGAAGACCAACUACUUAAUGGUUAGAUCCAUAUCUGUCAUUCUCUAGCUUCCUCAAAGUCAAUAAGUAGCAUAGUCAAUGAGUUACUAGCCGAUUAAAAACACCGUUUAUAUCCAAUUGUGGGUCCAUUAUUAAUUCAUAAAAGGUUUAUGACACCACCACCUGGUCACUAAAAAACAAACAAACAAAAAACCUUGAUAGACUAGUUUGCUCCUUUAAAAUCAUUGAACACUAUUUUUACCUCUUAGACACCAGCAGCACACAGUAAGGUGUAGACAGUCAUGGGAUGCUAGGGACAGUGGCAGCUCUAUAGAUCCUUCCUCAGCUUAUUUCUAAAACAGGGCACUGUAGAUCAGUGUCACAAUUAGUGAUGAACUGGACUUACAUAGGCUCCUCACUCUCAGACCAUUGAACCCUGAAACAUCAUAAUAUUAAAUCCCACCUCAGACUCGUACA